GACGAACGCUGGCGGCGUGCUUAACACAUGCAAGUCGAACGGAAAGGCCCUGCUUGCCGGGUGCUCGAGUGGCGAACGGGUGAGUAACACGUGGGUGAUCUGCCCCUUACUUUGGGAUAAGCCUGGGAAACUGGGUCUAAUACUGGAUAGGACCAUGCUGUAGGUGGUGUGGUGGAAAGAUUAGUUUCGGUAAGGGAUGAGCUCGCGGCCUAUCAGCUUGUUGGUGGGGUAAUGGCCUACCAAGGCGUCGACGGGUAGCCGGCCUGAGAGGGUGGACGGCCACAUUGGGACUGAGAUACGGCCCAGACUCCUACGGGAGGCAGCAGUGGGGAAUAUUGCACAAUGGGCGCAAGCCUGAUGCAGCGACGCCACGUGGGGGAUGACGGCCUUCGGGUUGUAAACUCCUUUCAGCCAUGACGAAGCCCUUGUGGUGACGGUAGUGGUAGAAGAAGCACCGGCUAACUACGUG
rnacentral:rRNA from 1 species